rnacentral:rRNA from 1 species
UAGAUACCCUAUUAUUUGAAAUGUAAAAUUUUUACUUGAGUAGUAAAAGUUAUGAUCUUGAAACUCAAAGAAUUUGGCGGUGUUUUAGUCUUUUCAGAGGAAUCUGUCCCGUUAAUGAUAAUACACGAUUAACUUUACCAUAUUUUGUAAUAUUCAGCAUGUAUACCGCCGUCAUCAGUUUAUCUUAUAAGAGUUAAAAAUUUUCUUAAAUUUUAAUUGGAAUUAAUGUCAGGUCAAGGUGCAGUUUAUAUUAUGGUGGAGAUGGAUUACAAUAGAAUUUAUUUAAAUGGAUUAUUAGAUGAAAAAUAAUAUGAAGGUGGAUUUGGAAGUAAUUUUAUUAAUUUUGAUAUUUUGAUUUUAGCUCUAAAAUAUGUACACAUC